UACGUAGGGGGCGAGCGUUUGUCCGGAUUUAUUGGGCGUAAAGAGCGUGUAGGCGGCCAGGUAGGUCUGCUGUGAAAACUCGAGGCUCAACCUCGAGACGUCGGCGGAAACCAUCUGGCUAGAGUCCGGAAGAGGAGAGUGGAAUUCCUGGUGUAGCGGUGAAAUGCGCAGAUAUCAGGAAGAACACCCGUGGCGGAAGGCGGCUCUCUGGGACGGUAC
rnacentral:rRNA from 1 species